GAUGAACGCUGGCGGCGUGCCUAAUACAUGCAAGUCGAGCGAACAGACGAGGAGCUUGCUCCUCUGACGUUAGCGGCGGACGGGUGAGUAACACGUGGAUAACCUACCUAUAAGACUGGGAUAACUUCGGGAAACCGGAGCUAAUACCGGAUAAUAUAUUGAACCGCAUGGUUCAAUAGUGAAAGACGGGUUUGCUGUCACUUAUAGAUGGAUCCGCGCCGCAUUAGCUAGUUGGUAAGGUAACGGCUUACCAAGGCAACGAUGCGUAGCCGACCUGAGAGGGUGAUCGGCCACACUGGAACUGAGACGCGGUCCAGACUCCUACGGGAGGCAGCAGUAGGGAAUCUUCCGCAAUGGGCGAAUGCCUGACGGAGCAACGCCGCGUGAGUGAUGAAGGUCUUCGGGUCGUAAGACUCUGUUAUUAGGGAAGAACAAAUGUGUAAGUAACUAUGCACGUCUUGACGGUACCUAAUCAGAAAGCCACGGCUAACUUCGUG
rnacentral:rRNA from 1 species